CCUACGGGGGGCUGCAGUGAGGAAUAUUGGUCAAUGGACGAGAGUCUGAACCAGCCAAGUAGCGUGAAGGAUGACUGCCCUAUGGGUUGUAAACUUCUUUUAUAUGGGAAUAAAACGUUCCACGUGUGGGAUUUUGUAUGUACCAUAUGCAUAAGGAUCGGCUAACUCCGUGCCAGCAGCCGCGGUAAUACGGAGGAUCCGAGCGUUAUCCGGAUUUAUUGGGUUUAAGGGGAGCGUAGGUGGAUUGUUAAGUCAGUUGUGAAAGUUUGCGGCUCAACCGUAAAAUUGCAGUUGAAACUGGCAGUCUUGAGUACAGUAGAGGUGGGCGGAAUUCGUGGUGUAGCGGUGAAAUGCUUAGAUAUCACGAAGAACUCCGAUUGCGAAGGCAGUUCACUGGACUGCAACUGACACUGAGGCUCGAAAGUGUGGGUAUCAAACAGGAUUAGAUACCCUUGUAGUC
rnacentral:rRNA from 1 species